rnacentral:misc_RNA from 1 species
UUUCCGUAGGUGAACCUGCGGAAGGAUCAUUAACCUUUCAAAUCAGGGUGCGUCGCGGCCCCCGAGGAGCGGAAACAAUCCUGGGGAGGUUUGCGGGGUCUUCGGACCCCCCUAACGCACGCACGACUGCCAUCCUUACUUUACGAGCACCUUCUGUUCUCCCUCGGCGGGGCAACCUGCCGCUGGAACUUAACAAAACCUUUUUUUGCAUCUAGCAUUACCUGUUCUGAUACAAACAAUCGUUACAACUUUCAACAAUGGAUCUCUUGGCUCUGGCAUCGAUGAAGAACGCAGC